GACCACGUGCAGUCAGUCGCUAUGCCGUGCCUCGAGCCAGCGCUGAGUGGAGCCUGUCUGCCAACAGCUUCAGCAGCGGCUCUAUCUGGAUUCUACUUCACUCACUGACAAUUAAAGGAAGGCCCCCCUUUCUUCUCAUUUUCAAGGAUUAUUCGUCACCAUGGGCGACAAAAAGAGCCCUACCAGGCCAAAAAGACAAGCCAAACAGACGGCGGACGACGGCUACUGGGACUGUAGCGUGUGCACCUUCAAGAACACCGCCGAGGCUUUCAAAUGCAGCAUCUGUGAUGUGAGGAAGGGCACAUCCACAAGCCCUAGAUGUCCCAGGCGUUUUCCCCCCUGAACUUGAUGCAGGGUAGGACUCUGCAACGUCACCACAAAGCGCCUUCGCUUAUGGGAAACUAAGCUUCAAAAACACGGGUGUGUCGCGAUGGGAUUCCCUUUCGCUUCUUGCGUAUGGCAACACCUACUCCCGCUCUGGGGAAUGUUUUCUGGUGAUGAGUCGCCUGUGCCACGGCUCACUCGCAUCACCAGUUGCAUGUUGAUAGAGACAGAUGAGUCAUGUGUGGUUUUGUUCACAAGCCCUCCGCUCUAACUUUUUUUUUUUUGUCUUUUUUUUUUUAAGCUGUGGUUUUUACAAUAAGUGGCUUGACUGACGUCACACAAAACAGGGGAGCGACCCACGUAACUGCUUCACGGUGAACGCAGUAGAUGGAGUUCGAUCUUUUUUGUCUGACUCUCCUCACCUCCAUGCUGUCUUUCCAGCUGCAAAUAACUUAAGAUACAACUCACAACUCUGGCUGAGCUCGCUCACAGGGAAGAAGGAAGCUAGCGUAUCUCGGUCUCUGUGUUUUGGCUCUGGGCUAUUUCUCUUGUUUUUUGGGGAACAUGGGAGCACUUGACAUCACUGCAGCGCCUUUCACAAACUCCCGUUUGCCCCUUGAUUAAUAUGGCUGUGUUAUCGUAGGGCUGCCUCUUUUUCUAAGAACCAAUUAGCCAGCUUUUCCUCUCCAUUUGAUGUGUUCAGACUAAGCAAGAUGCUCUUAGCUAAAUACUUCACACUUUAAGGCUGUGUGGAUAUUUUGUCCACCAUUUUUGUCCGAGUAUGAAUUCACGUAUUAAGUCACAAGUGUUUGCUAAUUUCACUUUAUCAGAAAUAGAACAGUCAUAAUAAAAACAUUUGCCAGAUGAUAAAUUGUCCCAGAUGUUACUGUGAUAAACAAUAACAUUGCUGUUUUGAGACCUUUUUCAAGUAAUUUUAUGGUAGUUGCGUAAUAAUGCAAGAGUUUAAUUAACUUUAAAUUCUAAUGAACAUUGUAACAUCUAAAAUAUUUCAAACAUCCAAAAUAAAAAAAAUAAAAAACAGAAACAACACAUAAAAUUAACUAUGAAAUCUCUGUAAACAAAAUCAUCCUUGGGGAGGGGAGAAGGCUGGUUGAACCAGACUGAAGGGAGAAUGAGAAAAACAAUAAAUUUUGCAGAUGGAAAUUAUUAAGCUAGUUUUAAUUUAUCAUGCAAUUAACUGAUUUGUUGCUUAUUAUGACAGGCCUAAUUGUGACCAACAGUAUCAGAAUUUCAGGAAGUUUUCUUGCUAGUUUUCCUGCCAGUUGCACAUGAUGUUAAAAUUAGCUGAAGUUUGGCCAGUUUCAAUUAUAAAUUCUACUGGACGGUACAAUUUCCAAGAAGUUAUUGCAAUAACCAAUAAUAUUGUUCUGAGACCAUUUUCAACUAAUAUAAUAAUAAUGGUUUAUUAAUACAAGACCACCCUCUAAAAGAUAAAAAAAAAAAA